AACGAACGCUGGCGGCAGGCUUAACACAUGCAAGUCGAGCGCAUCCUUCGGGGUGAGCGGCAGACGGGUGAGUAACGCGUGGGAACGUACCCUUUCCUACGGAAUAGCUCCGGGAAACUGGAAUUAAUACCGUAUACGCCCUUAGGGGGAAAGAUUUAUCGGGGAAGGAUCGGCCCGGGUUGGAUUAGCUAGUGGGUGGGGUAAAGGCCUACCAAGGCGACGAUCCAUAGCUGGUCUGAGAGGAUGAUCAGCCACAUUGGGACUGAGACACGGCCCAAACUCCUACGGGAGGCAGCAGUGGGGAAUAUUGGACAAUGGGUGCAAGCCUGAUCCAGCCAUGCCGCGUGAGUGAUGAAGGCCUUAGGGUUGUAAAGCUCUUUCAGUAGGGAAGAUAAUGACGGUACCUACAGAAGAAGCCCCGGCUAACUUCGUGCCAGCAGCCGCCGUAA
rnacentral:rRNA from 1 species